UACGGAGGGUGGGAGCGUUAAUCGGAAUUACGGGGCGUAAAGCGCACGUAGGCGGUCAGGCAAGUCGGGUGUGAAAGCCCUGGGCUCAACCUGGGAAUUGCAUUCGAAACUAUCUGACUCGAGUAUGGGAGAGGGAAGCGGAAUUUCCGGUGUAGCGGUGAAAUGCGUAGAUAUCGGAAGGAACACCAGUGGCGAAGGCGGCUUCCUGGACUAAUACUGACGCUGAGGUGCGAAAGCGUGGGGAGCAAACAGG
rnacentral:rRNA from 1 species